UGGGUCUCGCUCGUUACCUGACUUAACAGGAUGCUUCACAGUACGAACUGACGACGGCCAUGCACCACCUCUCAGCUAAUCCGGCAAAGUCUUCAGCCUGGCCUUCAUAUUGCUGUCGGUCCCGGUAAGAUUUCCGGCGUUGAAUCCAAUUAAACCGCAAGCUCCACCCGUUGUGGUGCUCCCCCGCCAAUUCCUUUAAGUUUCAGCCUUGCGGCCGUACUUCCCAGGUGGCUCGCUUCACGGCUUCCCUACGGCACCGACAACGGUCGCACCGUGGCCGACACCUAGCGAGUAUCGUUUACGGCUAGGACUACCCGGGUAUCUAAUCCGGUUCGUGCCCCUAGCUUUCGUCCCUUGCCGUCAGGUCCGUUCUGGUGAGACGCCUUCGCCACUGGUGGUCCUUCAAGGAUUACAAGAUUUCACCCCUACCCCUGAAGUACCUCUCACCUCUCCCGGCCUCGAGCCAGACAGUAUCUCCUGAAAGCCUGACAGUUAAGCUGCCAGAUUUCUCAAGAGACUUAUCCGGCCGGCUACAGACCCUUUAGACCCAAUAAUAACGGUUACCACUCGAGCCGCCGGUGUUACCGCGGCGGCUGGCACCGGUCUUGCCCGGCCCUUGCUAUGAAAUGCUUUUUAGGCAUCUCGACAGCCAGAUUUGUAACCUGGCACCCGAGGUUCCCUUAUCGCUGUUGCCAGCAUUGUAAAGUUUUCGCGCCUGCUGCACCCCGUAGGGGCUGGAUUCGUGUCUCAGAAUCCAUCUCCGGGCUCUUGCUCUCACAACCCGUACCCGUCGUAGGCUA
rnacentral:rRNA from 1 species